rnacentral:rRNA from 3 species
CCUGGCGGCCGUAGCGCGGUGGUCCCACCUGACCCCAUGCCGAACUCAGAAGUGAAACGCCGUAGCGCCGAUGGUAGUGUGGGGUCUCCCCAUGCGAGAGUAGGGAACUGC